rnacentral:rRNA from 1 species
UACGUAGGGAGCGAGCGUUGUCCGAAGUUACUGGGCGUAAAGCGCGCGUAGGCGGGCUGUUAAGUGAGAGGUGAAAGGCUGGGGCUUAACCCCAUGCAGUGCCUCUCAUACUGGCGGUCUUGAGUGCGGCAGGGAGAAGUGGAAUGGCUGGUGUAGCGGUGAAAUGCGUAGAUAUCAGUCGGAACACCGGUGGCGAAGGCGGCUUCUUGGGCCAACACUGACGCUCAUGCACGAAAGCGUGGGGAGCAAACAGG